AUACGGAGGAUGCAAGCGUUAUCCGGAUUUAUUGGGUUUAAAGGGUGUGUAGGCGGAAUGGUAAGUCAGUGGUGAAAUCCUACAGCUUAACUGUAGAACUGCCAUUGAAACUUCUGUUCUUGAGUAUAGUUGAGGUGGGCGGAAUGUGUCAUGUAGCGGUGAAAUGCAUAGAUAUGACACGGAACACCGAUUGCGAAGGCAGCUCACUAAACUAUUACUGACGCUGAGGCACGAAAGCGUGGGGAGCGAACAGGAUUAGAAACCCGGGUAGUCC
rnacentral:rRNA from 1 species